UGUCUCCGUCAGCUGAUGGGGACAUGAAGUCUGCUGGGUGUAUAAAGAGGGUUUUCAUUGGGCGUUGCCAGUGAUCAAAGUCUUUCCUGAGGACGGAACCGUGUUUCAGGGGCAUUUGGCGGAUGAAAUGAGGUCCUCAAGUGCUGGGGCAACCUGUGAAUUUGUGUGCUGCUUAUUCAUCACUGUGUCUGACAUGGAGUGAGU
rnacentral:lncRNA from 1 species